rnacentral:rRNA from 1 species
CCUGACUGCUAUCGGAUUGAUACUAAGCCAUGCGAGUCAUUGUAGCAAUACAAGGCAUACGGCUCAGUAACGCGUAGUCAACCUAGCCUAUGGACGGGAAUAACCUCGGGAAACUGAGAAUAAUGCCCGAUAGAACACUAUACCUGGAAUGGUUUGUGUUCCAAAUGAUUUAUCGCCAUAGGAUGGGACUGCGGCCUAUCAGUUUGUUGGUGAGGUAGUGGCCCACCAAGACUAUUACAGGUACGGGCUCUGAGAGGAGUAGCCCGGAGAUGGGUACUGAGACACGGACCCAGGCCCUAUGGGGCGCAGCAGGCGAGAAAACUUUGCAAUGUGCGAAAGCACGACAAGGUUAAUCCGAGUGAUUUGUGCUAAACGAAUCUUUUGUUAGCCCUAGAAACACUAACGAAUAAGGGGUGGGCAAGUUCUGGUGUCAGCCGCCGCGGUAAAACCAGCACCUCAAGUGGUCAGGAUGAUUAUUGGGCCUAAAGCAUCCGUAGCCGGCUCUGUAAGUUUUCGGUUAAAUCUGUACGCUUAACGUACAGGCUGCCGGGAAUACUGCAGAGCUAGGGAGUGGGAGAGGUAGACGGUACUCAGUAGGAAGUGGUAAAAUGCUUUGAUCUAUCGAUGACCACCUGUGGCGAAGGCGGUCUACCAGAACACGUCCGACGGUGAGGGAUGAAAGCUGGGGGAGCAAACCGGAUUAGAUACCCGGGUAGUCCCAGCUGUAAACUAUGCAAACUCAGUGAUGCAUUGGCUUGUGGCCAAUGCAGUGCUGCAGGGAAGCCGUUAAGUUUGCCGCCUGGGAAGUACGUACGCAAGUAUGAAACUUAAAGGAAUUGGCGGGGGAGCACCACAAGGGGUGAAGCCUGCGGUUC